rnacentral:lncRNA from 1 species
UGUUCCACAUGACAAGGCUAGUCCAUACCAUAUAUCUCUUUCUUUUCAUUUAAUCAUUAUGUGUUGAUUUCAUCCAAUCAAUUCCGACUUGCAUUAUGAUCAAUUCAGAUAUGUCAUAUCCAUAUAAUCAUGCCAUCAAUCUCUGAUACAUAUAUAUUGACAUAACAUACUCAUGCUCAAAAUCAAAUAACAAUAUCUCAGAUAUAAUAAAUUCAUCGAUCUCAAAUCCGAUGAUGCAAAACCAAUAAUGCAAGACCAAC